UACGUAGGUGGCAAGCGUUAAUCGGAAUUACUGGGCGUAAAGCGUGCGCAGGCGGUUUUGUAAGUCUGACGUGAAAUCCCCGGGCUCAACCUGGGAAUUGCGUUGGAGACUGCAAGGCUAGAAUCUGGCAGAGGGGGGUAGAAUUCCACGUGUAGCAGUGAAAUGCGUAGAGAUGUGGAGGAACACCGAUGGCGAAGGCAGCCCCCUGGGUCAAGAUUGACGCUCAUGCACGAAAGCGUGGGGAGCAAACAGG
rnacentral:rRNA from 1 species